rnacentral:rRNA from 1 species
CGGUUAUAAGAUCCCUCAAAGAUGAUGAGGUUAAUAGGUUCGAGGUGGAAGCGUAGCGAUACGUGGAGCUGACGAAUACUAAUCGAUCGAAGACUUAAUCAAUUU